rnacentral:rRNA from 1 species
GAUGAACGCUAGCGGUGUGCUUAAUGCAUGCAAGUCGAACGGGAUCCUUGGAUUCGUCUGAGGUGAGAGUGGCGAACGGGUGAGUAACGCGUUGGUGACCUGCCCUAGAGAGGGGGACAACCAUUGGAAACGAUGGCUAAUACCCCAGAUGUUGUCGGGUUUAGAAGCUGACAACUAAAGCUCAGGUGCUCUAGGAGGGGCCAGCGUCCCAUCAGCUAGUUGGUAAGGUAAUGGCUUACCAAGGCUAAGACGGGUAGGGGGCGUGAGAGCGUGACCCCCCACACUGGUACUGACACACGGACCAGAUACCUACGGGUAGCAGCAGCAAGGAAUAUUGCGCAAUGGGCGAAAGCCUGACGCAGCAACACCGCGUGGAGGAUGAAGGCCUUCGGGUUGUAAACUCCUUUUCUGGGGGAAGAGAAAGGACGGUACCUCAGGAAUAAGGCCCGGCUAACUACGUG